AGGAACUUCUUUAAGAGGUAUCUAGAACAAACCACUCACAUUCUCUUUUUUAAAAUCUCUUCUUCUAUCUUGUUUUCUGGAAUGUACAUGCUGCCUUGAAUAAUGAAGACAAAGAGAGAGAGCUGGAAGUAUUUGGAAGCUCUAAACUACUUUUCCACUGCUGAACUAUAAUGUUUCUGACAUUUAUACAGGUAUAUUCGGAGGAAUGAAGAAGGAUUCUUUCUAUUACCUUUAUCCAUUUCCUAGACAUCUAAGAUGAGGACUGUGGAAGGACUAAAGGGGAGAAAGAAAAAUGGCAGCUAAGAAUAUCACAGGAAAAUGGACAGAGUGAAGGAUGAACUGCUUUCCACUCAAGCAUAGCAGAGGGCAAAACAAUAAGAGAAAUAAAUUGGGAAGAGAUAUGGGAAAGUGAGCUCACUGGGGAUGAGAGCCUCUCAACAACUUUUUUUUUCUUUUGUCCUUUUAGGGCCACACCCGUGGCAUAUGGAGGUUCCCAGG